rnacentral:lncRNA from 1 species
ACUGAGUACAGAAAGUGUGACUUAUAUCAAUUAUAUGAAGCUUACUCUCACCAUCUAAUGCUUCUAAAAUUGCACCAUUUGAUGCAACGUGACCAAAAGUUGUCCAUGGACUUACCUCUUGAAACUUUAGGAUCAAUUUCGUAGACGAGUCAAAAGAUUUGGUCUUUUCAGCAGCUGAAGUUAGGGUUUUAUAGCACCUCAAACCAGUAUCAGUGGCCUUACAAAAAAGGGCUUGCAAGAAAUGAAAUGCCAAUUUUUGAUUGCAAUCACCAUAGGGAGAAGCAAGCUCAUUUAACAUCCACAACAAGUGAUGGAUCUUAGUUGAAUCUUUCUCAGAAAUCGCGGUAACACACUCCCGGAGAAGCUUAGAAGCCCACUUGGUAUCAGAAACUGGAUCACCAUUUUCUGGUGAUUGACUUCUUGAUAAGUUAUCGUGAGGCUGUUGAUUAGGGUUUUGCAUGUUUAUCAAAUGAUGAACAUAGUUGGUUACUAAGAAAUUAUUUAUAGGUUUAGAAAAGAAGAGACUUUUUCCCAUGAGUUAUGGAGCCCUCUUAGUAGUGGCUCUAAGAAAGCACUUUUGCAGGUUUAAAGCCAUUUUGAUUUCAGUGUGGAUUAGUAAUCAAAGUAGGAUAAUUAAUUAAGCUUUUCGAAUGUCUUAUAAGAUUCUAGCAACAUAAUUUGUCAUAUAUUCGUCACAUACAUCGUCACAAUAUGGACUUUUCUAUUGUUAAUUUAAUUUCAUUAACUAAAUAACUUUCUAUAUUUGUUAGGUACGCUAUACUCACCAGUAGAUCGAUUACACUCGAUUACUCGUACAUUGGGAGAGAGACUAUAUAUGCUCCUCAAUUAUAUUGACAAGAAUAGAAAUUCCUUAUCUCUAUUCAGGAGCGGAUGCAAUAAACUAGUGUCGGGUUCAACUGAACCCAAUACAUUUAAUGUAGGACAUAAAUUUAUGUGUAAAAAUUUAUUAAAAUUAUAAAAAAUAGUAUAUAUGAACACAUAACUUUAAAUAUACUAUGGAUCCAAUAUUAAAAAUAUUAAAGGUUGAACCUAUAAAGUUUAAAUCCUACCUCCACAUCUGUCUCUAUUGACAAAUUAAAAUAACAGAAAAAAAAGAGUAAAAAAAUAUCAUUAAAACUUUCAUGAAAUUAGCUGCUUCUUUGUCAAAAACGCAUAAUCUAUUUGAUCUUAUUAGAAUUAGUAAGAGUCGAUGAUAUUACUUAACUAAGUUUAGUUUGAACUAUUUAGAUAAUACUUUUGGUUAGGUGUUAAGCUAAUCAAAAUUUUGUUAAUUUAGCUCUUGUAAACUCAAUACUUGUUCUUUUUAGAUAGGAUGAUCAGUUUUUUAAAAUUGAACUACUCAAGAGAAUGAUAGAAAUUAGGUGUGUAUAAAGGAAAUCGAUAAACCGCACUAACCCGAUAAUCCGAGUUAAAUCGAGAAAAAAAAAUCAACUAUGGUUUGGUUUGACUUGGUUUGGUAUUGAAAAAAAACCCGAUCAUAAUUGGUUUGGUUUGGUUUUAAUUAAAGAAAGUCAAACCGAAAUCAAACCAACCCGACAUUACACAUAUAGAAAUUUUAGAUAUAAUUAACAUAUAAAUAUCCUUAUUGUAAUGUAAUUUAUAAAUAUUUCUUAAAAAAUUUCAUAUUUUUAUCUUUUAAGGUAUUACUUCAAGGUUGGACUUAGAACUUUUGAAUGCUCCAAUAAGUUUUUAUACCCAUUAAUAUUAGUAAAUUAAGUAAUGCUAACAAAAGACAUUCAAUUCAAUAUUACGAACGGGGAUGUAUUGAAUGUCUUUAUUUUUUGUUGCAAUAAUUUAGAUAAAAAUGCAUAACCUAUUUUUAUUUUGCUUUAGCUUUUAGUCAUGUAAUUAAUACUCCCUUAUUAGUCUAUUUAUUUUAGCAUGACUUGGUGCUUUUAGAUUAUAUUUAUUAUUAUUAUGGCUUUUUAAGUAACAAUAUUUAUAUUACAUAAUUUUGUUGUCUUUAUUGUUAAAUAUUUUAGGAUAAUGUCAUAACACAUCUCAUAUUUUGUAUUAUUUUCUUGAAAAAAUACUUCAUAUAGUUGUAUCUUACUAGGAUUAAAGAAAUAUUUUGAGAAUAUAUUAUAUGUUUUGUUCUAUGAAUAAUUUACCGGAAAAAUAAUCCGAAAAAAUCAGAAUAACCCGAAAACCCGAGAAAAACCGACAUUGAAAAAUUCGAGUUUUACUAAUUUGGUUUAAUCUUUAGAUUUAAUAAUCUGACACAAUUGAUUUGGUUUAAUAAUUGUAAAAUUCGAACCAAACCGACAUAUGCACACCCUUAAUAGAAAUGAGUAAAUGUAUAUUCGACAUUUAAGCAAAGAAGCAUUCAAGAAAAAAAUCAGUCAAACCGUUUUGCGUAUUUAUUGUUUUUUCCUCUUUCUUAUAGAUAAUAAUAAAUAAAUGCUUGAUGUCACGUUAAUAUGUGAAAAGUUUCUGAAUUCUGUAAUUUAUUUUUGUACAAUCGGUUUUGGGGCAUAGGAUUAUGGAGCACUAAAAGUUCUUGUGAUAUAGAGAGAAACAAGAAUUUAGAAGCAAAGUUGUUUGGUAAGGAAUAAAACAGUUAUACCUAGAAUAAAAUAUAGCUUUAAAAAAGGAUUCUCCAUUUAUUAAUUGCAGGCGUCUAUGUCUGUAUGUGAGUACGAGAUAGAUAAAUCCCUUGCUGACAAGAACAAACGGAUGAUGAUAAAAGCAAUGUGUAUAAAGACAGAUUAGGACUAACUAGCUAGAUUUGAACAAAUUUUAUCUAAAACAAUGAAAGUGGUUCGCCACUAACUCAUGUUGGCCUGUGGCUAUUGUACGUAAAUGAAAAAUCAAACUUAUGCUAUUCAUAUCACUAGACAUAAAGGCAACCAUGGGAUCAAGUUGGUAUGCUUCUGCUUGCCACCAAUUUCCCUUCAUAGGGUCCCCUUCUUUUUACUUUUUUUCUUUUCUUUUCCUAUACUUUUUUUCCCGAUAUCUACUUGAUAUUACUUUUCUUUAAUUUGCUAAACAAAGAAAGAGUAAAUUGUUUAUUCAAAUACCAAUAACUUAAAAUAACUAAAACCUCAAACCUAUAAGCUCUAAAUUUUGGAUUCACCUCUAUUUUUCUUCAUCUAAUUAGUAUGCACGAUUAGCUUAAUUGCCAUCUUAGACACAUUCAAUAGAAGACUACGUACGUUAGGGAAAAAAGGUGGAAUGAGUUAGAAUUAUUUUCUUUAUAUUCCUUCUAAUAUAUUCUUAAGGGAGAAUCUAAAUUUAUUUGUAAUAACAGGUACUGCCAAUAAGAAAAGGGGAAAGUAGCCUCCAAGUUACAUUAUAAUUAUAAUUAAUAGUGGAAGAGGUCCCCCACCAAGGCUAAUUAAAGUGUUGGAGUACAAACGACCAGUACCAAGCAAAAAGAUCAGUGAAAAAGAAACCAUAAUUGAAAAAGGGUAGUACAGAUUCAAAAACUUUCACCAACACGAUAUUGAAACAAGCAAAAAGAAAGAAAGCAAUACAAACUCCCAAGCACAAAGCAUUAUAGUGUUGUUGAAUCUAAAAGGUAGAAAAUGAAAAGAAGGUUAUAAUCGAGAUGUAAUAGUCCUAUAUAUGGGUUUCCCAGAUCCAUUAGAAGAGAAAGAUAGAAAGGAAUUGAAAGAAAAAAAAAGGAACCUCUAGCUUAUCUAUGCUCUUGGAUGCCAAAAAUAGAAAAAUCAAAUGGUAUCAAGCUUUAGCUUGUUGUAAGCUAAAGGCUAUAAUUACUACGUUGCAAUCCCAAGCACGUCCGCGCCAGAAUCUUCACUGAUCAUGUCGCUCCAUUAAUUUUUCCCGGGUUUCCAUGCUGAAGCCCAAACCACAGGUUCAUCUCUCCAAGUCAAGUAAAUUCCAGGUGACUCUUGAUUUUCUUGUGGUAGCACAAGUGACCAUCCAGCCUUGUACCUCUUAAGCAAGGACUUAACAUCAUCAACAGCAUCAUCGUUGAGUGGAAAUGGAGAAAACCACUCUCUAAGCCUUUGAGACCAUUGAUUUCCUCUUUCUCUUGUUUCACCAUCUCCUUCACAUAUUUGAUUAUCACAAGCCAAAACCUUAACUAUGCUUUUGGAACAUUCCCUUUCGAUCACAAGCCUUUCGUUGCUCGUAGUUGGAAAGCUUUCAUCAAGCAUCUCAAAGUAUAAUGUGUAGAACCUAAGGCAUUCUUCAAAACACUUAACAAAGUCAUUCCUUGUGCUAGAAAAAUCAGCCUCAUGUUCUACUAUUGUUACAAUUUUAGGGUUAAGUGAUUGAAGCAUUUUUAUAACAUCUCCCCUUUCUUCUACUUCAACUUUUCUUAAGGCACCUAUGCAAUUAACAGCCACUGCUUCUUCUUCUUUUAUAUUCAAACUCUCCUUUGUGAGUUCUUUAAACUUGUUCAAUCCACUUAUAACAUUGAACUCAAAAGGCACUCCCAUUAACCUAGCAAAUUUCUCCAUUCUUUGUGCUACUUCUUUCAUAAAUGAUUUCACUAACGUGCUUUUCGUGACAACAACUGUGAGUUUUAGAUGUGGUGUUUCGUCGUUUCGCGUGGCUAAAGAUUCUAGUAAAGUUGGCCAUUGAGUACAAAAAGUGUGACUUAUAUCAAUUAUAUGAAGCUUACUCUCACCAUCUAAUGCUUCUAAAAUUGCACCGUUUGAUGCAACGUGACCAAAAGUUGUCCAUGGACUUACCUCUUGAAACUUUAGGAUCAAUUUCGUAGACGAGUCAAAAGAUUUGGUCUUUUCAGCAGCUGAAGUUAGGGUUUUAUAGCACCUCAAACCAGUAUCAGUGGCCUUACAAAAAAGGGCUUGCAAGAAAUGAAAUGCCAAUUUUUGAUUGCAAUCACCAUAGGGAGAAGCAAGCUCAUUUAACAUCCACAACAAGUGAUGGAUCUUAGUUGAAUCUUUCUCAGAAAUCGCGGUAACACACUCCCGGAGAAGCUUAGAAGCCCACUUGGUAUCAGAAACUGGAUCACCAUUUUCUGGUGAUUGACUUCUUGAUAAGUUAUCGUGAGGCUGUUGAUUAGGGUUUUGCAUGUUUAUCAAAUGAUGAACAUAGUUGGUUACUAAGAAAUUAUUUAUAGGUUUAGAAAAGAAGAGACUUUUUCCCAUGAGUUAUGGAGCCCUCUUAGUAGUGGCUCUAAGAAAGCACUUUUGCAGGUUUAAAGCCAUUUUGAUUUCAGUGUGGAUUAGUAAUCAAAGUAGGAUAAUUAAUUAAGCUUUUCGAAUGUCUUAUAAGAUUCUAGCAACAUAAUUUGUCAUAUAUUCGUC